rnacentral:tRNA from 1 species
AAGGGUAUAGCUCAGUGGAAGAGUGCCUGUCUGCAGGCACAAGGUCCUGGGUUCAAUUCCUAGUACCUCCA